ACAUGACACAGAGGCGGGGUCGAGAAACGGGAAAUUGUCGAGUGAGGCAAAACCAGAAUAUCGGAGGUAAUACUCAGCAGGGUCGAGAAAACUGGACACAAAGUCAAGAACCAGAGGAUCAACAUGGAAUCUCAGAAACUGUGAAACAGAUUAAAGGAAUAAAAUCUCUGAACCACGGUGCUGGAGUUGUUGUAAUAAUUUAAUUCUGUAAAAGCACAACUGCUUGAUGGAGACGUGAGCUUAUCUCAGAAAUAUUUUAAAAUCACACCACCACCAUCAGAUAAAAAGAUGUAACUCCUUGUAAAGAUGUGUUGAUAAAGUGAACGAGUCAAAGUGAACUGAGAUGAAUUUGGUGCAGAAGAGAAGCAGCGCGUCCUGUUCAGGGUCCAUCAUUCAGAGGAAGCUGAAAGGAGCCACGUUUCCUCUGAGAGGAGAGUGUGUACAUCACCUCUGUGUAAAUCUCAUCACCAUCUGCAGGGGAACAACACACACACACACUGAAGACAGCUUAACUCAGUGAUCAACCACUUCUUCAAGCUUUCAGUCACCUGGGACGUGAUCAACACUGUCAUUAAAUUUUACUCAUGUAAAUAAAUAAACAAACAUGAAUAAAUAUAAUUUUGAUUUUUUUUGCUAAAAUUUCUGUUGAUACACAGCUGUGUGUUUAAGCCAAGACACAUCACAGACCCCAGCUGAAUAAAGUUGAGCAGUGUGAAGGACACCAAACACCAAAUGUGGAAAAACAUCUGAACAGCUGAACAGCUGAAAGGAGCUGCGUUUCCUCAGAGAGCUGCUGAGAGGAGAGUGUGUACAUCACCUCUGUGUAAACCUCAUCACCAUCUGCAGGGGAACAGCACACACACACACACACUGAAGACAGCUAAACUCAGUGAUCAACCACUUCUUCAAGCUUUCAGUCACCUGGGACAUGAUCAACACUGUCAUUAACGUUCACUCAUUUAACUUCGUGUUUAAGCCAAGACACAUCACAGACCCCAGCUGAAUAAAGUUGAGCAGUGUGUAAAGGACACCAAACACCAGAUGUGGACGAACGUCCUUUUUGCUUUUCGAAGGAGAAAGUCUUGAUCUCUCACAUGUACAUCACAGGAAAGAGAAACUUCUCUUUACAUCUCACACAGAGCACAGGUCUAGUUCUGUUCGCGUGACCACAAUCAUGGGGAAGACUGCUGACCUGACAGUUAUCCAGAAGAUGAUCAUUGACCUCCUGCACAAGGAGGGUAAGCCACAGAAGGUCAUUGCUGAAAAGGUUGGCUGGAAAAGGUGCACAAGCAACAGGGAUGACCUCAGCCUUGAGAGGAUUGUCAAGAAAAGUCGAUUCAAGAACUUGGGAGAGCUUCACAAAGAGUGGACUGAGGUUGGUGUCAGUGCAUCAAGAGCCACCACGAACAGACGUCUUCAGAAAAGGGGCUACAACUGUGACAUUCCUCAUAUCAAGGCCCUCCUGAACCAGAGACAACAUCAGAAGCGUCUUACCAGGGCUAAAGAGAGAAAGAACUGGACUGUUGCUCAGUGGUCCAAAGUCGUCUUUUCAGUAAAUUUUGCAUUUCAUUUGGAAAUCAAGGUCCGAGAGUCUGGAGGAAGAGUGGAGAGGCACAGAAUCCCAGGUGUUUGAGGUCCAGUGUGAUGUUUCUGCAGUAUGUGAUGAUUUUUAGUGCCAUGUCAUCUGCUGGUGUUGGUCCACUGUGUUUUAUCAAGUUCAAAGUCAAUGCAGCAUCUACCAGGAGAUUGUACAACACUUCAUGCUUCUAUCUGCUGACAAGCUUUCUGGACAUGCUGAUUUCCUUUUCCAGCAGGACUUAGCACCUGACCACAGUGCGAAAACUAUGACCAAAUGGUUUGCUGACCCUGAUAUUACUGUGCUUGACUGGCCAACCAUCUCGCCUGAACCAAACUCCAGAGAGACUCUAUGAGCAACUGUCAAGAGGAAGAUGAGAUACACCACCCGACCCAAAAAUACAGACGAGUUGAAGGUCGCUAUCAAAGCAACCUGGGCUUCAAUAACACCUCAGCAGUGCCACAGGCUGAUCGCCUCCAUGCCACGCCCCAUUGCCCAACCAAGUACUGAGUGUAUAACUGACCACACUUUCUAGAAGUUGUACAUUUCUGUAUUUUUUGAUUGAUCUUGGGAAAUGUUCUAAUCAUCUGAGACACUGGAUUUCUGAUUCUCAUGAGCUAUAAGACAUAUUCAUGAAAAUUAAAACAAAAAAAAGGCUUGAAAUAUUUCCCUUUAACGUGUCAUGAAUAUAUGAAAGUUUCCUUUUUUGGAUUAAAUAGCUUGAGAUGCCCUCGUAUUUACCGAGGCUCAGUGGAUGUGAGCUGACUUUCAGUGUUUGUUUGUAAUUUGGACUUUUCGAGAGAGGAAAGAAAUGAAUAAACGUACCCUGAUCACCUUGGGUCAAGUCCAUUUUGCGUCUGUUGGCGGAAGAAAUCCACAGAAACACUCAGAUAAACACGGCUAUGAGGCGUUUCGAUCAGAUAAAACCAAUGAUACACGAUUAAGCUGAACACAGUAAAUCUCUCACCUCUCAGCCGUCUGCUUCCCUGAAAAAGAAACAGAACAAACACCUUCUGUCAGAUCUGAACGAUCUCCAUGAUCAGUUUCACACAGGACGGUGUGCAGGAGAGACACGAGGAGAUGAAGUUAAAGACUUACUGAUAAAGCUGCAGAGACAGACACUCAUCAUUCCAGCCAGUAAAACACAGACACCGAGGACUGACGGCAGCAGCACCGACAAAGAUCCUGAACACAAUCGUGUAAAAUUCAAGAUGUUUUCGUUAUUAUUGGAUAAAAUAUUGGAGAAUUUGUUUGUUAUCGGUCCAAAACUGAGAGAGUUUCUCUGGUUAGAGCAUGAAGUAAAGAAUAAAACACUCUCAUCAUGCUGUUUUAGGAAAAUAAUUCACAACAGUGUGGUGUAAUGGAUCAGAGUCACUGUUACUACACUGAAGUUGAUUAUUUUCCUCUAAAAACACACCCUGAAAUGUUUUAUUCCUCUUCUACCACAGCAAUUCACCCAUACUAACAGCUUUAUUCAGUAAAGGAUGGCAUUUCAUUGG